rnacentral:rRNA from 1 species
GAUCCUGGCUCAGGACGAACGCUGGCGGCGCGCCUAACACAUGCAAGUCGAACGGAGAUUACAGGCGGAAGUUUUCGGAUGGAAGCUUGUAAACUUAGUGGCGGACGGGUGAGUAACACGUGAGCAACCUGCCUAUCAGAGGGGGAUAACGAUUGGAAACGAUCGCUAAUACCGCAUGACAUAGCGGAAACCGCAUGGUUCUGUUAUCAAAGAUUUUAUCGCUGAUAGAUGGGCUCGCGUCCG